GAAGGAAAACAAUUGAAUGUGCUUUUGGCAGGGCCUGCGAGAAGUUCGCUGUUUUGAAUGGUCCUAUCCGCAUCCGGGAUCCAAAGUACGUGGACUUUGUCAUCAAAGCUGUCUUCGUUCUUCACAACUAUGUACGAAAACGAGAGGGGCUUCAGUACAUGCCAACUGAUGAAUUCACGGGAAGUGAAGUUGAUAGCUGUGUGGUACAACCUCAACAACAAAACAUGACAAUACACAUGAAUUCUCCUGCAACGGCUCUGAGGAGUUAUUUGGCAAACUAUUUUCUUACCCCACUAGCAUCUCUACCCUGGCAGUGGAAAUUUUGUUUAUGAACCUACAAUAUAACCUAACUAAUUUUGAAAUCGAAAACUCUCCACAGUUUAAUUAUAACCUCAUAAUCACUUAAUUAUGUAUAUACUUACAUAAUUAAUUAAUAAUUAAUUCAUAUUCGAACCGUUUUUUAAUAUUUCCACUCUGCGACAUUAAAAAAUAAAAUAGUACAUACCUGUCAUAUUCACUCUUUUUCCAACUUCAUCCCAUGUCUUUUCACUUUCAUCUUUCUUAGAAUAUCCAGGAAGCGUAAAAUUGUACAAAACAGGAUGUUUUUCAACUUCUCCUACAAAUAACGGAUUCAGCUGUUGUUCGCACAUCUUGAAGAAAGUCACCAAGAAACUGAGCUACUUCAGUCCCUAGUGACUCGGCCGCCGAGUUGCCUGGAACUUAUUACUAACGGGUUGGUAACGCGUUAGUGAUCAGUAGCGCUGUGUGUGGUGUUCCAUUCAGUCACAUUUGAAGUGACUGAUUGCGGACUCGUUAGUAACUUGCGUCACUAAUCAGGUUAUUUUGAGUAGCUCCGUGUGUAGACGGCCUAACUUCCGAGAAACUAUUUCACCUGAAGAACGUCUAGCCGUAACUCUAAGGGACCGGGACGCUCGGUUUCAUGGCUGCUCCUAGAACUGCCACCGGUAUUUGGCGAGUUUGAGGCCGCUGCUCCUGUGUUGUGCUGCCUCAGAGCGCCGCCGCGAAGGAGACACCAGGAGUAAUGAUAUUUGAGGAGCACACCCUUCCCGUUUUGGGUUUGGGUGCUCUGUGAUUUUUUCUGCAGUUCCUCCUCCGCGUGUGUUCAGCCCCGAUAGUUGGCGGGAUGGGGCUUCUCUCCCUCCUUCAACUGGCAAUUGCAACAAGCUGGAGUGGCUGCAGAGUUCUCUUUCUCUGGACACUGUGCAGGUGGCCACCCCCACACCACAUGCAACGGGGAGGUUGCUUACAGUUACCCCAUACGUGGCCAAACUGUUGGCAGUUGUGACACUGCGUAAGGCCACUCUGCGUUCUAUAUGCCUCAGCCCGGGUGGAAAUGUGGCAAAGGCUUUGCAGUUUGAAAAUUUCCUGAAAUUUGUUGUUCGGGGUAAGGUUAUAAGUAGGGCUCGGAUUUCUAUGACCUAAAAACUUUGAAAAUAUGCAUGCAUUUAUGCCCUAAAAAUGGCAAAAUAUGACAGAAUGGCCCACAAAAAAUAAGUAAAUAUUUAACAAAAAUUCCUAAGAAUGGCAAUUUAUUAAGAAGUUUACAAAGUUAUUUUGUCCUGAAUAAAUAUCUUCAAGCUCUGAAGCAUCAAUCACAGCACAUUGCUGACCGCAUAAAGAGAAAAGCUGAAUGGCGUUUUAUUGAAAAGUGUACAAAGUUAUUUUUUUCUGAAUAAAUGUCUUUAAGCCGUGAAGCAUCCAUCACAACACAAUGCUGACCCUGU